CCAGCCGCCUCCCCUUUUUGCUAUUCACGAUCACCAUCUAGUCUCCAUCUCAAGCUGUUCUCUUCUUCUCAUCUAAGCUCCAUCAUAAGAAGAUGCAAUCCAGAGUAGACGUGGCGUAAUCAUCAACGAGUAACAACGGAGAACCAGUUCGUUAGUGCCGUAUCAAUACCACCGUCAUCAUCUUCAUCAAACCGUGAGAAAAGUCAAGUGGGAGAUCGCAAGUAAAGCCAGAGCCGUAGCUUCUCCAAACCAUCAGCACUGAUCUCCACCAUCUUGAACCGAAGUCAGCGUGGAAUUAUUUAUUCAACAAAUAAUUCUUUUAUAAAGCUUAGACCGAGGCUUGUUGGAUAAGUAUUAUUUCUCGAGCAUAUCCGUUCCAUCCCGGUUUGACUAAGGUGAGACUGACCAGCAGGAGUGAUUGCUUUCGGAUUGGUGCUUUUGGACGUUUUCUUUAUUUCUAUUCCAGAUUUUCGGUUUUGUGCUUUACCGAGAUUUUUAGAUUUAUUAUACUAUUUGAAUUUAAUGCUAUUUAUUGGAUUUAUGGAGAUUUGAGAUUAUUUAUGUGGAGUAAUAAAUGGAGAUUUCAGGAUUA